rnacentral:snRNA from 1 species
UCUCCAAAAAGGAUAAAUAAAUAAAAUUGGAAUGAUACAGAGAUUAGCACAGCCCCUGCACAAGGAUGACACACACAUUUGUGAAGUGUUCUACAUUUUU